rnacentral:lncRNA from 1 species
GCGUUAAUUUAUGCCACAAAAUCAUUUUCUUUUAUACGCCACACACCCGCUCUCAGUACUCCCACACCCGACUCUGCCUGCCACAUGCGAAAAUAAAAAUUAAACAAGACACGAGUCCCAGAGUUGAUGGUCGAAGCACAGGAUAUCCUCUCCCAUCUCAGGUAGCUCCCCAAGGACCAGUUAUUGUAUGUACCCCUCUUUGAUAGGGUAUACAAACGUGAGAAAUAUAUAAAAAAUAUACCCAGAGUGUACAGA